GAUGAACGCUGGCGGCGUGCCUAAUACAUGCAAGUCGAGCGAACAGACGAGGAUCUUGCUCCUCUCACGUUUGCGGCGCACGGGUGAGUCACACGUGGAUACCCUACCUAUAAGACUGGUAUAACUUCGGGAAUCCGGAGCUAAUACCGUAUAAUAUAUUGAACCGCAUGGUUCAAUAGUAAAUGUCGGUUUUUCUGUCUCUUCUCGAUGGUUCUGCGCCUCUUGAGAUAGUUGGUACGGUAACAGCUUACCAAGGCAACGAUGCGUAGCCGACCGGCGAGAGUGAUCGGCGACAUGAGAAGUGAGACGGGGUCCAUGCUCCUGCGGGACGCAGCAGUAGGGAAUCUGCCGCAGUAGUCGAAAGCCUUGCGGAGCAACGCCACGUGAGUGAUGAAGGUCUUCGGAGCGUAAAGCUCUGUUACUAGGGAAGAACCAAUGUGUAAGUAACUAUGCACGUCUUGACGGUACCGAAUCAGAAAGCCACGGCUAACUACGUG
rnacentral:rRNA from 1 species